rnacentral:rRNA from 1 species
UACGUAGGCAGCGACCGUUGUUCGGAGUUACUGGGCGUAAAGGGUGUGUAGGCGGUUCUUUAAGUUUGGUGUGAAAUCUCCCGGCUCAACCGGGAGGGUGCGCCGAAGACUGAGGAACUAGAGUACGGGAGAGGAAAGUGGAAUUCCUGGUGUAGCGGUGAAAUGCGUAGAUAUCAGGAGGAACACCGGUGGUGUAGACGGCUUUCUGGACCGUAACUGACGCUGAGACACGAAAGCGUGGGUAGCAAACAGG